rnacentral:rRNA from 1 species
GACGGAGGAUGCAAGUGUUAUCCGGAAUCACUGGGCGUAAAGCGUCUGUAGGUGGUUUAAUAAGUCAACUGUUAAAUCUUGAAGCUCAACCUCAAAAUCGCAGUCGAAACUAUUAGGCUAGAGUAUAGUAGGGGUAAAGGGAAUUUCCAGUGGAGCGGUGAAAUGCGUAGAGAUUGGAAAGAACACCGAUGGCGAAGGCACUUUACUGGGCUAUUACUAACACUCAGAGACGAAAGCUAGGGUAGCAAAUGGG